AACGAACGCUGGCGGCAGGCUUAACACAUGCAAGUCGAACGCCCCGCAAGGGGAGUGGCAGACGGGUGAGUAACGCGUGGGAAUCUACCCAGUUCUACGGAACAACACAGGGAAACUUGUGCUAAUACCGUAUACGCCUACGGGGAAAGAUUAUCGGAAUUGGAUGAGCCCGCGUUGGAUUAGCUAGUUGGUGAGGUAAUGGCUCACCAAGGCGACGAUCCAUAGCUGGUCUGAGAGGAUGAUCAGCCACACUGGGACUGAGACACGGCCCAGACUCCUACGGGAGGCAGCAGUGGGGAAUAUUGGACAAUGGGCGCAAGCCUGAUCCAGCCAUGCCGCGUGAGUGAUGAAGGCCUUAGGGUUGUAAAGCUCUUUCUAGUGGGGAAGAUAAUGACGGUACCCACAGAAGAAGCCCCGGCUAACUUCGUG
rnacentral:rRNA from 1 species